GGGGAGAUAGCAUGGGAGAGGCAUUAGUGUCUGGGAAACAGCGAAGACUCCUGGGUUCGAUUCCCAGUCCUGCCA
rnacentral:tRNA from 1 species